rnacentral:rRNA from 1 species
AUUGAACGCUGGCGGCAUGCUUUACACAUGCAAGUCGAACGGUAACAGGGAGCUUGCUCCGCUGACGAGUGGCGAACGGGUGAGUAAUGCGUCGGAACGUGCCGAGUAGUGGGGGAUAACGCAUCGAAAGGUGUGCUAAUACCGCAUACGUACUGAGGUAGAAAGUGGGGGACCUUCGGGCCUCACGCUAUUCGAGCGGCCGACGUCUGAUUAGCUAGUUGGUGAGGUGAAGGCUCACCAAGGCGACGAUCAGUAGCGGGUCUGAGAGGAUGAUCCGCCACACUGGGACUGAGACACGGCCCAGACUCCUACGGGAGGCAGCAGUGGGGAAUUUUGGACAAUGGGCGCAAGCCUGAUCCAGCCAUGCCGCGUGUCUGAAGAAGGCCUUCGGGUUGUAAAGGACUUUUGUCCGGGAGCAAAUACCCAGUGCUAAUAACGCUGGGGGCUGAGAGUACCGGAAGAAUAAGCACCGGCUAACUACGUGCCAGCAGCCGCGGUAAUACGUAGGGUGCAAGCGUUAAUCGGAAUUACUGGGCGUAAAGCGUGCGCAGGCGGUUUUGUAAGCCAGAUGUGAAAGCCCCGGGCUCAACCUGG